AGUUUGAUCCUGGCUCAGGACGAACGCUGGCGGCGUGCUUAACACAUGCAAGUCGAACGGAAAGGCCCUUCGGGGUACUCGAGUGGCGAACGGAUGAGUAACACGUGGGUGAUCUGCCCUGCGCUCUGGGAUAAGCCUGGGAAACUGGGUCUAAUACCGGAUAGGACCGCAUGCUUCAUGGUGUGUGGUGCAAAGCUUUUGCGGUGUGGGAUGAGCCCGCGGCCUAUCAGCUUGUUGGUGGGGUAAUGGCCUACCAAGGCGACGACGGGUAGCCGGCCUGAGAGGGUGACCGGCCACACUGGGACUGAGAUACGGCCCAGACUCCUACGGGAGGCAGCAGUGGGGAACAUUGCACAAUGGGCGCAAGCCUGAUGCAGCGACGCCGCGUGAGGGAUGACGGCCUUCGGGUUGUAAACCUCUUUCAGUAGGGACGAAGCGAAAGUGACGGUACCUACAGAAGAAGGACCGGCCAACUACGUGCCAGCAGCCGCGGUAAUACGUAGGGUCCGAGCGUUGUCCGGAAUUACUGGGCGUAAAGAGCUCGUAGGUGGUUUGUCGCGUUGUUCGUGAAGACUCACAGCUUAACUGUGGGCGUGCGGGCGAUACGGGCAGACUAGAGUACUGCAGGGGAGACUGGAAUUCCUGGUGUAGCGGUGGAAUGCGCAGAUAUCAGGAGGAACACCGGUGGCGAAGGCGGGUCUCUGGGCAGUAACUGACGCUGAGGAGCGAAAGCGUGGGUAGCGAACAGAAUUAGAUACCCUGGUAGUCCACGCCGUAAACGGUGGGUAAAAGGUGUGGGUUUCCUUCCCUUGGGAUCCGCUGCCGUAGCUA
rnacentral:rRNA from 1 species